UGGGAUCUUUUCGGUUCAGGGCUUU
rnacentral:piRNA from 1 species